rnacentral:lncRNA from 1 species
GAUAUUAUGAAAACAAUCACAAAACUCGAAGUUGUUAAUUUUAUCUUCUCACCAGUAUAUAGUAGUUAUAAUUAUAAAGUAAUCAAAUCAAACAUUUGAAAAUUUUACUUGUACGUGUAAGUCUAAUGUAUAAAGGUUAUUAAAGCCGACACUAAGUUCUUGGUUUUUCUAACUUUCGAGGCCAUACGGUUUCCUAUGAAUAUUUGUUUUUACUGCAUUUGCAUUUUGGGUGAAGGUUGUCUUAUUGGCAAUAAUAUCACAUAUUUUUC